CUUUGUGCAUCUGGCUUCACAUGGGUGCUGGGGAUAUGAACCCAAGCUGUCAGGCUUUACAGAUAAAUAAAUAUUUUUAAUAAUUCAUUAAAGAACAUUAAAGAAUAAACAUUCGGGGAUGAAGAUGUAGCUUGGCUGAUGUAGCCCAACAGAGACCGAGAAAACUUCAAUCUGAACCACAGGAGGAAAAACUUUACUUCGGAGCUGAGAGGAAGCAUCAGAUCUGGGUUGGGAUGCACAAGAAUGGCCACUUGAAGGAGAAAUAUCAAAGGGUUUUCUGAAGAAUAAGGAACCAUGAAUCAGGCAAACAUGGACAAAAAGGAAAAGAAAGUCUGUGGAUCAGUCUACAGAAUGUAAAGAGACCAGUGGUUCCUCAGCACAGGAGUAGGAAGGGUGGGGUAUGGGUAAGUGGGCAGGCUGAAGAAGGCACAUCAGGAAAUGAUGCAGGGACAACUCACAGGAAUGUGCCCCAUGCUGGGAAAUUUUGAAUGAGAGUCAUUUCUUGAAACACUACCCAGCUGAAAGGACUGCCUGUCAAGAAGAUACCCAACCUGCUCCUGGUAAUUCGCAAGCAACUGGCUGGAUGUACAAAAAGGAGGAAGAGAAAAGUCUAGACCAAAACUUUUUGGGAAACAAGGGAAACAAGACAUGGUGAAGUGUAUGCAAUUGCUAGUUUGAAUAAUGCUGACAAUAUGUAUGAUCUCUAGUGAGUGUGAGUACAAGGUCUAAGAAUAUUGAGG